UACGUAGGGACCGAGCGUUGUCCGGAAUCAUUGGGCGUAAAGAGCGUGUAGGCGGCUUGUUAAGUCUUGCGUGAAAUCUCGGGGCUCAACCCCGAGCGGUCGUGAGAAACUGGCAGGCUAGAGUGCGGGAGAGGAGAGUGGAAUUCCUGGUGUAGCGGUGAAAUGCGCAGAUAUCAGGAAGAACACCCGUGGCGAAAGCGGCUCUCUGGAACGGUACUGACGCUGAGGCGCGAAAGCUAGGGGAGCAAACAGG
rnacentral:rRNA from 1 species